GUAGGGAAUAUUGGGCAAUGGAAGGAAUUCUGACCCAGCCAUGCCGCGUGCAGGAAUACAGUCCUAUGGACUUUAAACUGCUUUUAUUAUAGAGUAACCUGGGGGACGUGUCCCCCACUGCAAGUAUAUAAUGAAUAAGCAUCGGCUAACUCCGUGCCAGCAGCCGCGGUAAUACGGGGGAUGCAAGCGUUAUCCGGAUUUAUUGGGUUUAAAGGGUGCGCAGGCUGAUCGGUAAGUCAUGGGUGAAAAGUCACUGCUUAACAGUGAUCGUGCCUAUGAUACUGCCGGACUAGAGUUUAAGAGGUGUAACUGGAAUGUGAUGUGUAGCGGUGAAAUGCUUAGAUAUGUCACAGAACGCCAAUCGUGAAGACAGGUUACAAACUUAAUACUGACGCUCAUGCACGAAAGCGUGGGGAUCAAACAGGAUUAGAUACCCUGGUAGUCC
rnacentral:rRNA from 1 species